GUGUCCUUGAACAACUUGCAUAAAAAAAAUGCUCUUUGUUGAGUUCUUAGGGGUCGUGAAGAUCUUAUUCGCGUGUAUUUGCACUCGGAAGGGUUAUGAUGACUAUAUAAUAAUCAGACAUAGUACGAUAAGGUAGUAUGUCUAAAGGGAAACAGCCCAGAACAAGAGUUAAUAAGGUUCCAAAAUUAUUGUUAAGUGAAAAUAAGGAAGUUUCAAUCAAAUAUGCCCAGGAGAUAGGCUUAGGUGCGGCCAUUUUUUGAAGACCUCGUAACAGAGCACUGGAUUAGAAAAUUAUUUUUAUAAUUUAUAUUGAUAAAAGCACCGAAAAUUUAACGGAUCUAAACAAUAUACCGAGACCUUGUCCAUAUUUAUAUAUAUAUCUAAGUUGUAUAUUGUAUUUAUGGGGUAGCGGAACAUUGGGCAAAUAUAAGAAUUUUUCUUUUUAAGACUUAAGAUAAUAUAACCCAAGCGAUAAUGCUGACAUGAGUAACGAUAAAGGGAAUAAACUAUUCCCUCGCCUAAAACUUAUGGUAUUUACUUAAAGUAACGGCCUCUAAGUUUAUGCACCUAAAGGACUAAACGAUGAGAAAAUCUACUCUACUAAUGAUGAGUAAAUCUACUCUCCUAAAGGAUGAGAAAAUCUACUCUACUAAUGAUGAGAAAAUCUACUCUCCUAAAGGAUGAGAAAAUCUACUCACUGCGAAUAAAUAACCUUUGUGAUGAGACUUAUGCCGCUUUAGGCGGGGUAAGGUGUAAGCUUUUUUGCUAAAGUAACAAGGUUCUGGAAAUUUAAGUAGUGCAUCAUGGACAAUAGGCAGGAGGCAAUCUCCUGCCUAUCAUGGACAAUAAGGAGGAGGCAAUCUCCUGCCUACCAUGGUGUAAAAAGACCGUACCUAGAAACUACCCCCA
rnacentral:rRNA from 1 species